rnacentral:rRNA from 1 species
UACGUAGGUGGCAAGCGUUUGUUCGGAAUUACUGGGCGUAAAGGGCGCGUAGGCGGUCUACUAAGUUGGAUGUGAAAACUCUGGGCUUAACCCAGAGCCUGCAUUCAAAACUGAUAGGCUGGAGUUCUGGAGGGGAUAGCGGAAUUCCUGGUGUAGCGGUGAAAUGCGUAGAUAUCAGGAGGAACACCGGUGGCGAAGGCGGCUAUCUGGACAGAAACUGACGCUGGAGGCGCGAAAAGCCUAGGGGAGCAAACAGG